CUUCCCGCCUUCCAGCACCGCCCACUUCCAGUGCCUGCUGCGCAUGCUCCUCCUGCCGGCCAGCGACACCUACUUCCGGUGCCCGCCACGUGUUCUUCCAGCUGCGCCAUCACCUGCUGCAGAGAAGGAAGCUUCCUGCCUGAUCCCGCCCGCCGCUCGCCAGUGCCUCCCACUCAUACCGUCCCCGCCGGCCAAGGCCUCCUCCCGCUGAUGUCGCCGUCGCUCGCCAAAGCCCUGCACCGCCGGCCGGAGCCCUCCAACAGCGGCUGCCUACCGCCGGCUCCAGGGCCCCACCUUGCCAGGGUCCCUGUGCCCUUCUCACGCAGGCCUGGCCUCGCAGCGGCAGCUCACCGCAAAGCCACUGGCCUCCAUCGCCGCUUCUCUCCACCAAAGCGCAGCCACCGUCCUGGAGCCCGCCCCUCUCCUGCCCUGCCCGCCGGUGCCUCCCGCUAACACCCGCCCUAGACGCCUGCCGCUAUCACCGCCCUCCAAUGCCUUCUUCCGUUGAUGCCGAUGUUGCUGCCUUCGCCAGCGCUCAUGGCCCUCCACUGCGAGAUCCCUCAGACUCGUACCACCGCCAGCAGGGGCCCCCCUGCCAGGGACCCGGCUCCCUGGUUCCCUUGCAGGCCUCGCCGCCUUGCAGCAACCUCAGUUCAUAGUCUCCACAGAGAACAACUUUGUCUGAAGUCAACUCAUGAAAGUUCUACUUGAUCCAUUUGUGUAAACAUCUGCUGUUCCCUACCUUCAGGGUCACACGAGGCAGGUAGGUAAGUCCUUUUAGCAUCCUUAGCAAGCCACCAUUCAGUGUCCUUCCUAAUCCGAUAGCAUUACAGAGAGCACAGCUGUUCUCUAAGAAACCUCCCUCCUGCUUUCUGUGGUGGCUGCAUCAACUUGCAGCCAUUGUCCCACCAGCAUUCCGUUGUCUCCACAUCCUUGCCAACACCUGUAAUUUUUUUGUCUCUUGAAUUUUGGACAGUCUGACUAAUGCGACGUGACAUCUCAUAGGAUUUAAUCUUGCAUUUCCCUGAUGAUGAGUGAUAUUGAGCAUCUUUUUAUGUCUGUUGGCCAUCUGUAUGCCUCCUUGGCAAAAAUGUCUUUGAAGUAGGUGAGGGGUGAGAAAAUGAGAAUAUUUGAUAUCUUGAUCUAGGCGAUGGUGAUGUGUGUACAUACAUCAGACUUCAUCAAGCUUUGCGAUUUGUGCAUUUUAUUGUAUGUAUUUUGGUGUAAAGUUUUUUUAAGAACAAAAAUUAUGGUCCUUUGACAAGGGUCAGUGUUGGAGAGACACACAGCGUGUAUUCUCGCACUCUGUGGAGGUGAACUUGGGCUGCUCUAAUAUACAUGCAUCCGUGGGUGUAGGAGUGGGUAGUUUCUGUCGUGCAGCCAUCUAGGCAGG